GACCCGAACUUUAGGGUAACAUGUUACCUCAUGAGCCUAAGAAAAUGAUUCACGUUAGGGUAAACCUCGACUAAAAUUACGCUAUAUUGCAACAUCGUGUUAGGCGUUUGCUGAUUUCAAACGUCUGCGUUAGGGUAACAUUAGUGUAACCUUACCCUAACGUGAGUCAUUUCAGUGAGUCGACCAAAAUAGUGCAUGUAGUAGUGAGUUGUAUACAGCACAUAAUUUGUGUUCACUAAUCCAACGGCAAGUCUCCUCAAUGACAGUUCGCGGUAAACAAUCCAAAAAAUAAGCUCGAUCAGCUCUAUCCACAAAUCGCAAAAAGUGAACUGUUACAACACCAUAGAUAAUAAAAAUUAAAUUAAAAGGAUUGAACAGACAUACUACUCACAAGGGUCAAAAACUUCGACGGCUUCGGAAUUCGUCGUUUGUUCAUCAGAUAGAAAUUGCACCUCAUCUCAUCGAUCGACGGAUACUAUCACAGUUCAACUGAAACCUGAUUCGGAAACCAAAAGCAACAGUUAUUCCGAUGCGCAAAUAUCAAACUUCUACUAGCAAACGGAUCACACUUGCCGGAAGAGUUCUUGCCACGACUGCAACUCGCUAAAAUGAGCUCUCUACGUCCUUUGGAUUUACAUCGGUGUCUAACUUAUACAUCUCCCCUGAGGAAGAAUCCCGUCGAGAGGAGGUUUACCUGGAGCCGACCGACUUCCUUUAUGUGAGCGAAUUUUCCUAGUCCUUGUUCCGUCUAAAAGAGAAUGACUAGUUGAAUGCGGUACGGGACCACCCGACACGACGUACGAUUUUUCCAGCGAUGUCGCUGCCCGGGAAACCAAUUUUUACGUUGCACCCCGUUUGUUUUUAACUGGAGCGAAUCGCAGAAGGCAAGAUGUAAAUUCGGGCAUCACUUCGACAGGUCAACCUUCAGAAGUAAUCGAUCAGAAAGAUGUAUUUAUUAUCUAUGUUUUGAACAAUUGCUGGCCUGGCGAUAAAAGCGGAUGUUGUCAUUGUCAUACAGGAAGUAUUUCACAUAUACUUCAGAGUAAUGUAUAACGGAAGGGAGCAUCCGGAGAUCCUUCUGCAUUAGUGAGAAAGUCAUCUUGGUGUGAGUAUUUCAAAAGUGUCAAGCCGCCAAGCAAAACACCCGUAGCCAUCUGCCAAACAACAAAACAGACAUCCAAAACAAAACAAACAACAAAACGGACAAAACAGAAAUAUCCUCAAUUAAAUCAAAUAUAUCAGGAAAGUAUGGAUAAUAAAUAGAAGGUUGCCGCUGUGAAGCGGUGAAUUUAGCUGCAUCGGUCUGCGCUGCGGGUUUCCCCCUGAGAUAAACAACUUCGCAUUCUCUCAAACUGAAAUCGUUGCUCUAGGCUACAGGAAACGGAAGAUCUUUCCAGUCAAUGACGAGAUGUCCCAUUGGAAUCACCCAUACAAUGUUAGAGCGAUGGAAAUGGAUUUUUCAAAUGGACCCAGAGUGUGUCGCGGGGGAACAUCGCUGGCCAAAUUUCGGAUCUAUAAAAUACCAUCGAUACGGAAUCGAUGUCAGUAUUGUUGCUGACAAAUAAUCAUGGUUCGAGAGUCGUCAGUGUUGGAAGGAAGAUCACAGUUAUAGGGCUGUCGAGGGCAAAAGCACCUGUAAAAUCAACGUGUACCUAGUCAAAUAACAUCCAUUAUUGUAUAAUAAAAUAUGUCUAUAAAACUGGUUCUCCUUGAU